rnacentral:lncRNA from 1 species
CCAACACUUUCUUUGGAUUUGGAGUUUUUAUGGCUUUUUGAAAAUAAUUUUGCUGCUCUGCGAGUUUUUACCUUGUUUCAGGAUAUUGUAUUUGCUUGUUGAUCGAUUCGUUAAUUACAGUGCUUGCUGGAUAGACGUUAUGCGAUAGUGGGUCACGAAGCUCUUGUUCUAUUGGUUUGUCUGAAGUCGGCGCAAGAAGAAGAAAGGCACACAGGAAAAUUGGUGACCUAAAAGACUUAAGAAUGAAGGCCGCUAGGGAUUGUGGGCAGAAACUUUAACUACUUCUAUAGUAUGUUAGACUUACCUNGUUGGAGCUGCACUUCCAGUGGAUCACUUGCCAGAGAACCAUAACCAUUAACAGACACCACCCUCAUCAGGUAUUUCUUGCCCGCGUCUAGACUAUUUACUUUCACUUUUGUUACGUUGGAGUUCAGNAUUACAGAAUUGUAAUACUUCAUGUUUGUGCCUGCUUUUAUGUACUGUAAAGCAUAGCUAGUGAUUCUGUAUAACUCAUUGUACANGGGGGCUGACCAAUGGAGAAUCACUGACGUCCCUUCUAUGUCACUAGUACUUAAAGAAGCUGGCGGAGGAGGAGAAGCUAGAAAAGAAGGAUUUUCGUUAUCGACUGGGAGAAUUCUGAUUGUUAGUAAAUUUUUAUCAGCUUAUAGCUUAA